rnacentral:rRNA from 1 species
AUUGAACGCUGGCGGCAGGCUUAACACAUGCAAGUCGAGCGGGGGAGGUUGCUUCGGUAACUGACCUAGCGGCGGACGGGUGAGUAAUGCUUAGGAAUCUGCCUAUUAGCGGGGGACAACAUUCCGAAAGGGAUGCUAAUACCGCAUACGCCCUACGAGGGAAAGCAGGGGAUCUUCGGACCUUGCGCUAAUAGAUGAGCCUAAGUCGGAUUAGCUAGUUGGUGGGGUAAAGGCCUACCAAGGCGACGAUCUGUAGCGGGUCUGAGAGGAUGAUCCGCCACACUGGGACUGAGACACGGCCCAGACUCCUACGGGAGGCAGCAGUGGGGAAUAUUGGACAAUGGGCGGAAGCCUGAUCCAGCCAUGCCGCGUGUGUGAAGAAGGCCUUUUGGUUGUAAAGCACUUUAAGCGAGGAGGAGGCUCUUAAGGUUAAUACCCUUGAUGAGUGGACGUUACUCGCAGAAUAAGCACCGGCUAACUCUGUGCCAGCCGCCGCGGUAAAAC